AUUGAACGCUGGCGGCAGGCCUAACACAUGCAAGUCGAAUGGUAACAGGAAACAGCUUGCUGUCUCGCUGACGAGUGGCGGACGGGGUGAGUAAUGUCUGGGAAACUGCCUGAUGGAGGGGGAUAACUACUGGAAACGGUAGCUAAUACCGCAUAACGUCGCAAGACCAAAGAGGGGGACCUUCGGGCCUCUUGCCAUCAGAUGUGCCCAGAUGGGAUUAGCUAGUAGGUGGGGUAACGGCUCACCUAGGCGACGAUCCCUAGCUGGUCUGAGAGGAUGACCAGCCACACUGGAACUGAGACACGGUCCAGACUCCUACGGGAGGCAGCAGUGGGGAAUAUUGCACAAUGGGCGCAAGCCUGAUGCAGCCAUGCCGCGUGUAUGAAGAAGGCCUCGGUUGUAAGUACUUCUAGCGGGGAGGAAGGGAGGU
rnacentral:rRNA from 1 species